rnacentral:rRNA from 1 species
UACGUAGGGUGCGAGCGUUGUCCGGAAUCACUGGGCGUAAAGGGCGCGUAGGCGGCGCGGGAAGUCAUCGGUGAAAGUUCAGGGCUCAACUCUGAAUCGGCCGGUGAUACUCUCGUGCUUGAGCACUGUAGAGGCAGGUGGAAUUCCGGGUGUAGCGGUGGAAUGCGUAGAGAUCCGGAAGAACACCGGUGGCGAAGGCGGCCUGCUGGGCAGUAGCUGACGCUGAUGCGCGACAGCGUGGGGAGCAAACAGG